rnacentral:rRNA from 1 species
GAUGAACGCUGGCGGCGUGCUUAACACAUGCAAGUCGAACGAUGAAGGAGGAGCUUGCUCCUCCGGAUUAGUGGCGAACGGGUGAGUAACACGUGAGCAAUCUGCCCCAGACUCUGGGAUAAGCGUUGGAAACGACGUCUAAUACCGGAUACGAGCCGAGCAGGCAUCUGCAUCGGCUGGAAAGGACUUCGGUCUGGGAUGAGCUCGCGGCCUAUCAGCUAGUUGGUGAGGUAACGGCUCACCAAGGCGACGACGGGUAGCCGGGCUGAGAGGGUGACCGGCCACACUGGGACUGAGACACGGCCCAGACUCCUACGGGAGGCAGCAGUGGGGAAUAUUGCACAAUGGGCGCAAGCCUGAUGCAGCAACGCCGCGUGAGGGACGAAGGCCUUCGGGUUGUAAACCUCUUUUAGCAGGGAAGAAGCGAAAGUGACGGUACCUGCAGAAAAAGCACCGGCUAACUACGUGCCAGCAGCCGCCGUAA